rnacentral:rRNA from 1 species
GACGAACGCUGGCGGCGUGCUUAACACAUGCAAGUCGAACGGAAAGGCCUUGUUUUUUUGGUCUGCUCGAGUGGCGAAAGGGUGAGUAAGACGUGUUUAUCCUUCCCUUUACUUUUGGUUAACUUCAGGAAACUGGGGUUAAUACUGGAUAUGAGCUCCUGCUGCAUGGUGGGGGUUGGAAAGUUUCGGCGUUUGGGGAUGGAUUCGUGGUUCAUUAGCUUGUUGGUGGGGUAGUGGCUUACCAGGGCUUUGACGGGUAGCCGGCCUGAGAGGGUGACCGGCCACAUUGGGACUGAGAUACGGAACAGAGGCCUACGGGAGGCAGCGGUAGGGAAUAUUGUACAAUGGGCGGAAGCCUGAUGCAGCAACGCCGCGUGCGGGAUGACGGCCUUCGGGUUGUAAACCGCGGUCGCCUGUGACGAAGCGUGAGUGACGGUAAUGGGUAAAGAAGCACCGGCUAACUACGUG